UCUCGGCUUAUCACCGGCAGUUCCUCCAGAGUGCCCGGCCCUACCCGAUGGCAACUGAAGGCGAGGGUUGCGCUCGUUGCGCCACUUAAGGCAACACCUCACGGCACGAGCUGACGACAGCCAUGCAGCACCUGUGCAGGCUCCCGAAGGAGCGCCGGCUUUCACCGGUUUCACCCUGCAUGUCAAGCCCUGGUAAGGUUCUUCGCGUUGCAUCGAAUUAAGCCACAUGCUCCGCCGCUUGUGCGGGUCCCCGUCAAUUCCUUUGAGUUUUAGCCUUGCGGCCGUACUCCCCUGGCGGGGCACUUAAUGCGUUAGCUUCGGCACGGAAGGAGUCGACACCUCCCACACCUAGCGCCCAUCGUUUACGGCGUGGACUAC
rnacentral:misc_RNA from 1 species